rnacentral:rRNA from 1 species
UACGUAGGGCGCGAGCGUUGUCCGGAAUUAUUGGGCGUAAAGAGCUCGUAGGCGGCCUGUUGCGUCUGCUGUGAAAUCCCGGGGCUUAACCCCGGGCGUGCAGUGGAUACGGGCAGGCUGGAGGCAGGCAGGGGAGACUGGAAUUCCUGGUGUAGCGGUGAAAUGCGCAGAUAUCAGGAGGAACACCGGUGGCGAAGGCGGGUCUCUGGGCCGAUACUGACGCUGAGGAGCGAAAGCGUGGGGAGCGAACAGG